CCAGACAUAUAAUAAUGAGGUUUUCUAAUCGGUUAAACUUAAUUCGGUUAAUUGGUUUUGAAUUUUUGAAGAAGACUUUGGGAAUAACGAGUCAACUACCUCUAUGUUUCAUUACCAUACAAGUUACAAAUCUAAAAUAUUCGCUUUUGCUGCAGUUUUUGUAUCAUGUUGACAAUAAAGUAUAUGAAAAGAAGGAAAAUCUAUUGAAAAAAAAACUGAUUCAUGUUAUUACAGUCUUAAACUAUCAGAUUUAAGAACACUUAUCAAUUUACCAAAUUAAACCUUCACAGUAAUAUAAUACUUUGUCACAUAAUGAUUAUACAACACCCGCUUGCUGGAAGAACUACCUAAAUUUUCUAGUGGACCACUGGUUAAAAACUGCUGAUCUAGGGCACCUUGAAAUUAUUGUUUUUUUUUUUUUAUGACAUUUUAAUUUUGAAGUAAAUUAUGAACAUUUUAU